UCCUAUAUUUUUUGUCUUCUCAGCGAGCAGUUAUGUUUCGAAUGUAACAUCCGAGUAUCCGACUGAAGGCUCGACUGAAAUUGUUUCCUCUUCCAAGGGCACUAGCCUAGAUGCAUCGUCUCAUCUCCCCACCAUAUUUUCUCUCCAAUGAAUAGAUCGGGUCCGCGCAUCUCAUCUUCCAAUCCCACCUAUUCUAUUCUUGAUCGAGUCCUGACUCCUAGCUGCCGGAAUAGAUCUUCGGCGCCAAGAUGGGCCUCGAGGGUUCGCCCGGAUGAGAUCGCUUCGCCGGCGCCCUGCGUCGGCUUUGCCCCUCAGUCGUACAGCCCGUCAUGCAGCCCCUCAGCCGCUCCUCCCUUUGCGCUGGCGUGAAGAACAACGAUCUGUCGAUCUGGUUGGUGUGGCUGUGAGCCUGUGACAGGAGAGAAUACGAGGGGCUCCUUGCAGCUGGGCUCUACUUGCCGCUCUAUCAAACUAUUCUCUUUUCUUUACUCAUGUCCGUUAUGCUCUCUCAAUCAGACCGAAACAUUACCAUUGGCGUCAAUGUUCCCGUCAGUAAGUUUAAUCAGAUUUGGAUUUUAUUCAGAGCAGUUUUGAUCUAUAUUUCCAGGAGCAGUUUUGAUCUAUAUUUUUCGUCGACCUACCAAUAUUGUGUUAUUGAAGGAAAACGGAAUGAAUAAGAUGAAAGUGAGGUAACAUUAAUGGCCACAGAUAGUGAUCGUGUCUGGUGUGGCAAAGGUAACCCAUUCAUCAUUUUUUGGUGAGACCACAUAACUGAAGUGAGACUUUUACCACUGAUUUUUUGGAGAUGCUUUGUUCGAUGUAGUUGCUCAAUGCUUUAUGAUAUGUCGUGCUUCACAACUGAAACACGCUUUUACCACUGAUUUUUUGAAGAUGCUUUGUUCAAUGUAGUUGCUCAAUGCUUUAUGAUAUGUCGUGCUUCACAACUGAAACAUGCUUCACUGCCUCCUCUUGCCCGUUGGCAAGCCGUAUCCAAACAAAAGGAGCUCACAUUGGAGCAGUGGAGCUGCGCUACUCGAGCUUGCUCCCACCGCAAUCUAUGCAUAUGCAUUGCAUCAACAUCUAAUCCUGGUCUUGGCACAGACUUCUAAUGUGAGAUUGGCACAACCAAUUUUGGUAAGGCACGUGAUGAAUGUCAAUUCCCCAGUUUAUGCUUGACGAUACUUUUCAUUUGUAUGUUUGUCGUGCUUAGUUAAUUAUGGCGAUCUCAUGGUCUCUGCCCAUCUCUAUCCUUUUUUGGGUUAUGAUGUGAUUGUGAAAAUCCCCCGUCAUCACAAGAGUUAUUGAGCAUAAAUUAAUAAUUAAGGGAAUACCUGUAUGUAUGUGUUGUGCCACAGAACAUAGCCCAUUGGACUGUCAAAGGAAAGAUGAGCUUGCUAGCUUGGACCAAGGCUGCAUGAGGAAGGCCGUCAACUGGAAUAGUUUGGACGUCAAGUAACUAGAAUUUGGUUCAUUUCGUACACAAAUUAUCUUCUUUGCUGGUAAAAGUAACAAACUACCAAUAUCACCAUAUUAUGCAUAUGAUUUUACUGUUUUUCUUUGUAUUGAGCAUUGCUCCGUAAGCUACAUAAAUUCUUCAUUUUUUAUCUAUAUUCGCAUACUACUAUGUUGCAAACUUUCAGCCAUUGAAGUCUCCAGAGAAUUUGUUAUUAGCAUAGCUUUGCUGGCAAAUCAGUUUGUUCUUACGUACCAAAAAAUAUCUAUGAUGAAAGUGGUAUACGAUAUCUUGCUUGGUGAUUAAAUGUUAUUGUAAUUUUGGUUUGGAUAGACAAAGUGUUGUGCAAAAUAUAAUAACAUUUUGUACUGUAAUAGUUCAUACUUAUCAUAAUUUCUGCCAUGCAAUUUCCAUGUGUAUAUACUGUUCACAUUUG